CGGCCCAGACUCCUACGGGAGGCAGCAGUAGGGAAUCUUCCGCAAUGGACGAAAGUCUGACGGAGCAACGCCGCGUGAGUGAUGAAGGUUUUCGGAUCGUAAAGCUCUGUUGUUAGGGAAGAACAAGUACCGUUCGAAUAGGGCGGUACCUUGACGGUACCUAACCAGAAAGCCACGGCUACUACGUGCCAGCAGCCGCGGUAA
rnacentral:rRNA from 1 species